AAUAUGAGAGAAAAAAACGGAGGGAAAUCCGCCUGUCAGUAUCGAGUUUUUCCACAUUAUUUAACUACAAUAUGUUCUAUAGCCGGCAGGCCCCAAGGCCGCUCCACGAGCCAGGAGGAGGAGGAGGCCAGUCAACUUUUGUUGGCACCAACAACAAGGGCAGCUGGGGAGCCCAGGACAGGGCAAAGGAAUUAACUGAAACAACUGAAACGUAUCGAUUUAACUGUUGACACAUUCAAAGGCGCCCCAGGCACACACACAAAAUGAGGCACAGGACCCAGGCACAGGCUGAGGCUGAGGUUGAAGUGGAGGCUGAAGCUGAAGCUCAGGCGAUAAUUACGACCUCUAAGCGGCUUGCAACGAAACCAGCAAGAACGAGGCUCCAUUUGCGAGAUACCCUAACCCAAAGGUUUCCAUUUUAUUAUCAAAUUGUCACAUUCUAUGAAUCAAAGAACAAAUGCUCUUCGAACAGCCUUCAAUACUGGAGGAGAGAUACAAGAUAGAUCUUUAGAACAGGCAAAGUAGAGCUUCCCUAGAAAUGGGCAAAAAAUGGGACAAUGCAUGGCGAUAUCCCAGCGCGAGGUGUAUUUUGUUUUUGCAUUCUCGGUUUUGAGCCUAAGUCGUGGAAUCUUGUUGGCUGAAGAAUAAAUCACAGAGCACCCCGUAAAUCAAGAUCGGAUUUAAUUGCGGAAACAUUUCCUUAUCUGUUUUUGGGACCUUCUAGACUGCUGAUUUUUAUCCACCGAGAUUCGGGGCAAUACGAAUAUUAUUGAAGGAAUAAUUUGUAGUGAUCGAAAGCAGGGAUUUUAUGAAUACUGUGGAUACAUGUAGGCCUCUAGUGUAUACUCUUCGCUUUUCUUUAGCUGCAGCGAACUCGAUUCCAAUAAACUAAGAAUCGUAACAAAUGUGCAACGAUUUGUUUGGGUCUCAGGUAUGGCGAGGAAUGUCGAAAAACAAUCAACAAACAUUUGAUAAAUGUGCCAUAAAAUGUGUGCCAAAGAUACACACUGUGUAUCUGUGCCCCAAAAAAGAGGAUACAGGAGCAGAUCCCUCCCUGAGGACCCCGGCGUGUGCGUGCAUUAAUUUAUCAAAUUAAUAUUUUUGGGUACCUCUGGCAUCCUCCUCCUCCUUCUCCGGCGACAGCAUUUUAUGGAUUACCUUAUUAGACAUCGCUUAUACAGACGGAAAUACAAAGAGGGUGCGCUGCUGCUGCUGCUGCCGCUGGUUCCUGUUUAUCCGUAAGUAUUUUCGUUUCUUAUUUCUAAUAAUACAUUACGUGAGUCUUGGGCUUUUCCAAGGAACUCUGAAAAAUCGCAUGUUCUAGAAGGCGACAACACAGCAAAGGGCAAAUGUUUUUCGUGUCACUCUUGAUGGGUUCCAUCAGUAAAACAUUAUAAUGCACUCUAUUAUGUGGUGUUUUGAUGGGGAUUUAAAAGUUUUCGUAACGUUUUAGGCUAUGUGUUUCUGUAGCUUGAAAAUGCUUAUUUAUUCAUGGUUUUCUUUUAGUAUGUAUUUAUCAUUUCGUG